rnacentral:rRNA from 1 species
GGGCCCGCACAAGCGGUGGAGUAUGUGGUUUAAUUCGAUGCAACGCGAGGAACCUUACCAGGGCUUAAAUGUAGUGGGACAGGUCUAGAGAUAGACCCUUCUUCGGACUCAUUACAAGGUGCUGCAUGGUUGUCGUCAGCUCGUGCCGUGAGGUGUCAGGUUAAGUCCUAUAACGAGCGCAACCCCUAUCGUUAGUUGCCAGCGGGUCAUGCCGGGAACUCUAGCGAAACUGCCGGUGCAAACCGUGAGGAAGGUGGGGAUGACGUCAAAUCAUCACGGCCCUUACGUCCUGGGCUACACACGUGCUACAAUGGCCGGUACAGAGAGCAGCCACUACGCGAGUAGGAGCGAAUCUAUAAAACCGGUCUCAGUUCGGAUCGCAGUCUGCAACUCGACUGCGUGAAGCUGGAAUCGCUAGUAAUCGG